CCUACGGGUGGCAGCAGUGAGGAAUAUUGGUCAAUGGGCGCUAGUCUGAACCAGCCAAGUAGCGUGAAGGAUGACUGCCCUAUGGGUUGUAAACUUCUUUUAUAUGGGAGUAAAGUGCAGUAUGUAUACUGCUUUGCAUGUACCUUAUGAAUAAGGAUCGGCUAACUCCGUGCCAGCAGCCGCGGUAAUACGGAGGAUCCGAGCGUUAUCCGGAUUUAUUGGGUUUAAAGGGAGCGUAGGCGGGUUGUUAAGUCAGUUGUGAAAGUUUGAGGCUCAACCGUAAAAUUGCAGUUGAUACUGGCAGGCUUGAGUACAGUAGAGGUAGGCGGAAUGCAUGGUGUAGCGGUGAAAUGCUUAGAUAUCACACAGAACUCCGAUUGCGAAGGCAGCCUGCUAGACUGUAACUGACGCUGAGGCUCGAAAGUGUGGGGAUCAAACAGGAUUAGAUACCCGAGUAGUC
rnacentral:rRNA from 1 species